GGAAGAAGUUCAAAACCAAGAAAAUGGUGUUUGGCAAGACCAGGAUGCACAAUGGCAAGUUGAGGGCAAGCCGGGUACGUGUCCUGAAUUUAUAGAAUCUUUUGACACAAAGCAACAGAGCCACAGUCAAGAGUCAAGUCAAAAGAAAUUUAGACCCCAUCUGGGCAAACAGGCCUCUAAGCAACAACCUAAGAUUUCCACCUAUUGUUCUGGGGUUCCUUGUAUAAAUGAUUAUGACUGCAGAGAUCUUAGGAAGUGCUGUGGUACCUUUAGAUGUGGCCUGAGGUGCACACAUCCUCUUAUGAUUGACCCUGUAUUUUUCAAUUCACCUCCACAAUCCAAGGCAUAAAUAUUGGAUGGAGAAAUGGAUUCAGAUGGAGGCAUCAUUGAGCUUAUUCUUGACUCAUCUCAGUCCAAACAUUACUUUCUCAAUCGUUGUUCUUAAAAUCUGCAUAUUAAAAGCUCAUCAUC
rnacentral:lncRNA from 1 species